GGUUCUAUAGUGUAGUUGGUCAUCACAUCGGAUUCUGAUUCCCUCAUCAGUAUCUUUCCGGGGACCUGGGUUCGAAUCCCAGUAGGACCU
rfam:Diaporthe ampelina DA_912_scaffold_v01_16, whole genome shotgun sequence.